AUCAGAAAAGUGUUUACUUGGCUCAGAGAUCAGGUGAGCAGUAGGCUAAUUUUUCUAUGCAGUGGGACAGUCUUAUCAACCAUAGAUGUCGCCCCCUGCUGGACAUUAAAAGUUGGAGGUUUUAUGCACUUCAGUGUUGGUCUUUUUAAACUUGCGAGCUCCUCCAACCUCUUUUAACAAGCUCCUCUCGGUGCUGAGGAGUAACGACUCGACUUGAAGUCUCCUUCCUCUUAUUAUGACACAAUCUGUCAAUCAGACCCAGAAGCUACGUCACUCUGUCAUGUUUUUAACAGCUCCUGUCCUGUGCUUUUUUUUUUUUUUUUUUUUCCUCCUUUUUUAAUUUGCAGCACUCACCUCUUUAAAUCACAUUUACUUCUCAAUCCUGAACAUCUGCUGAUUGGAGCAUUCUGGUUAAACGGUUCCUAAAAUGUCUUUGAGUCUUCUCCGUGCAGCCACAAAAGCAAAUAUGUUUGAAAAAAUAAAUGAGUAAUGUGUGGGAUUUGUCCUUAAAGCCUGUAAAUCUUCAGUCUGUGUUUCAGCUGCUACUGCUGCUUGUUAAAUAUCUGUUCUCACCAUUUCCAUUCACACUCUGUGGUUUCCACUGAAGUAGGGAAUCCAUUCCCAUAUUCUGGUGUUGUGUCAUUGUGCUAGAUGAAUAUAAAUUGCAUCAAUUUUCAGUGAUAAAUUCAGAGACAUUGUGCUGUGGAUGCAGCAUUAGUGAAUAAUGGGAAGGAAAUGUCAGGGACACAUUACAAUAUGCAACAGUAUACUAAUGUGUUUAUGUCUUGGUAUUCUGUCAGAGGCUGGAUGCUGCUUCAUGCUGAUGGUGUGAUACAGGAAAACACCGCCUGGGCUGCAAAAUAUCGCAACAUGGAUACUUUUUCAUUCUGCUAAAAUCUUGAUUUUUUUAUUUAUUUAUUUAUUUUUUUAAAGCUGAACAUCUUAUGAUCGAAAGCCUAAUUCUUCACUCAGACAUCAAUACAAACUCUUCCAGCUCCCGACUAGACUAAAACAGCACAAUCCAGGCUUUAACUGGAGUUUUCACGCCACAAUUGGUUUAAGGUGCAGAUUUGUCGGUCAUUGUUGGUAUCUUGUGCAUGUGUGUGAGGGUGUUAGCGUCACAGUAAGCUAUAGGGUUAGACACCCAGGCUGCAGUUGAAGUCGAUUUUAUCAUUUCAUUCAGUGACCUGCUGAUAUAAUCUGAACUGGACUCUGAACAUCACUCCUCUGUGAAGAACCUAUGUUUGUCUAUAAAAAACUGAGGAACGUGUAGUGUUAAGGGCUAAAACCAGAAGGCAGUGGGUCAGUUAAAUGCUAAAUUUCUCCCUUCACAGCAGCUGUACAGAGGAUCAUUAUUACUAUUAUUAUUUUU
ensembl:lncRNA